UGGGGAAUAUUGCACAAUGGGCGAAAGCCUGAUGCAGCGACGCCGCGUGAGGGAUGACGGCCUUCGGGUUGUAAACCUCUUUCAGCAGGGAAGAAGCGAAAGUGACGGUACCUGCAGAAGAAGCGCCGGCUAACUACGUGCCAGCAGCCGCGGUAAUACGUAGGGCGCAAGCGUUGUCCGGAAUUAUUGGGCGUAAAGAGCUCGUAGGCGGUUAGUCGCGUCUGCUGUGAAAACUCGAGGCUCAACCUCGGGCUUGCAGUGGGUACGGGCUGACUAGAGUGCGGUAGGGGUGACUGGAAUUCCUGGUGUAGCGGUGGAAUGCGCAGAUAUCAGGAGGAACACCGAUGGCGAAGGCAGGUCACUGGGCCGCAACUGACGCUGAGGAGCGAAAGCAUGGGGAGCGAACAGGAUUAGAUACCCUGGUAGUCCAUGCCGUAAACGUUGGGCACUAGGUGUGGGGUCCAUUCCACGGAUUCCGUGCCGCAGCAAACGCAUUAAGUGCCCCGCCUGGGGAGUACGGCCGCAAGGCUAAAACUUAAAUGAAUUGACGGGGGUC
rnacentral:rRNA from 1 species